AUUGAACGCUGGCGGCAUGCCUUACACAUGCAAGUCGAACGGCAGCACGGGAGCAAUCCUGGUGGCGAGUGGCGAACGGGUGAGUAAUAUAUCGGAACGUGCCCAGUCGUGGGGGAUAACGUAGCGAAAGCUACGCUAAUACCGCAUACGAUCUAUGGAUGAAAGCGGGGGAUCGCAAGACCUCGCGCGAUUGGAGCGGCCGAUAUCAGAUUAGGUAGUUGGUGAGGUAAAGGCUCACCAAGCCGACGAUCUGUAGCUGGUCUGAGAGGACGACCGAGCCACACUGGGACUGAGACACGGCCCA
rnacentral:rRNA from 1 species